UGAACAAUUAAGAGAUAACUGUAUUGUAUUUGAAGCUUUAAGGACGUCCAUCGGUAGUUUUACUGUCGCAAAUUUAGUUUACCUGGCGACGCGGAGCGGAGACAGGUAAACGGGUAUUUGCGACAGCAAAACUACCGAUGGACGUCCGCAAAGCUUCAAAUACAAUACAGUUAUCUCUAUUCUAAUGCAAAACAAGUUCAUAAUUAAAUUUCAAUCAUUAU
rnacentral:lncRNA from 1 species